UGGGGUGUAGCCAAGCGGUAAGGCACGGGACUUUGACUCCCGCAUCCCAGGUUCGAUUCCUGGCACCCCAGCCA
rnacentral:tRNA from 1 species